rnacentral:rRNA from 1 species
UACGUAGGGGCGAGCGUUAUCCGGAAUUACUGGGCGUAAAGGGUGCGUAGGCGGCCUUUUAAGUCAGAUGUGAAAGGAUACGGCUCAACCGUAUUUAGCAUUUGAAACUAGAAGGCUUGAGUGCAGGAGAGGAGAGUGGAAUUCCUAGUGUAGCGGUGAAAUGCGUAGAUAUUAGGAGGAACACCAGUGGCGAAGGCGACUCUCUGGACUGCAACUGACGCUGAGGCACGAAAGCGUGGGGAGCGAACAGGAUUAGAUACCCUGGUA